AUGCUAGGGUUUAGAACGACUAUUCAGCUUCCAUCCAUGAAAGCGAUUCUCUUUCUCCUUCAAUCUUCAGACUCAGUGUUUUCCUCUUCUUCACUAUCUGAUUCGGACACCAACGGAAAUCAAAACGCCAUCGCCGAUCUCCAUCGCAUCUUCAAAGUUCUUCAUCCGACUUCAAUUCCGUCUUCGAUAUGUUUUCGACGCGAGCCUCCGUCUCACUCAAACGCAUAUUCAUGGUGCUUUAGCUUCGAGGUCCACCGCGAUUCUACCUCUCAUUCUGGUUUAGCUUCAACUUUAAAACAUGGCUCCGAUUCGAUUUCGUCGUUAUCGAUAUAUCAUAGAAGCUAA